AGUCUCAUAGUGUAAUGGCCAGCACACUGGACUUUGAAUCCAGAAAUCUCAGUUCAAAUCUGAGUGAGACUG
rnacentral:tRNA from 1 species